AAUUUUGGACAAUGGGGGAAACCCUGAUCCAGCCAUCCCGCGUGUAUGAUGAAGGCCUUCGGGUUGUAAAGUACUUUUGGCAGAGAAGAAAAGGUAUCUCCUAAUACGAGAUACUGCUGACGGUAUCUGCAGAAUAAGCACCGGCUAACUACGUGCCAGCAGCCGCGGUAAUACGUAGGGUGCAAGCGUUAAUCGGAAUUACUGGGCGUAAAGCGUGUGUAGGGGGUUCGGAAAGAAAGAUGUGAAACCCCAGGGCUCAACCUUGGAACUGAAUUUUUAACGGCCGGGCAAGAGUAUGUCAGGGGGGGGUAAAAUUCCACGGGUAGCAGUGAAAUGCGUAGAUAGGUGGAGGAAUACCGAUGGCGAAGGCAGCCCCUGGGAUAAUACUGACGCUCAGACACGAAAGCGUGGGGAGCAAACAGG
rnacentral:rRNA from 1 species